rnacentral:misc_RNA from 1 species
CCUCCACACCACGCUUUCAUCCACCGCCUACUUCCCCCCCCUCCCAAGCACACCCCUUUCCUCACCGGCACAUUCAGCCAUGGCCAAGGGCAAGCGUUCCGCUGAUGCCAAGAGCAGCCAGAAGCGACAGAAGAAGGUGCUGCGCGACAACAUCCGCGGCAUCACUCGCGGCUGCGUCCGCCGCAUGGCGCGCCGCGGUGGCGUGAAGCGCAUCUCGAGCGAGGUCUACGAAGAGGUGCGCCGCGUGCUGAAGGCUUACGUGGAGGACAUUGUGCGCUGCAGCACGGCCUACACCGAGUACGCGCGCAAGAAGACCGUGACGGCGUGCGAUGUUGUGAACGCGCUGCGCAAGCAAGGCCACAUCCUCUACGGCUAUGCGUAAGCAAUCGUGCCCUGGUCCCUUGCUGCCUGUCUUUCUAGCCUACACGGCUGUGUGAGCGACGGGCGGCAGGGACUCGUGUGCAUUCAUAGAUACACUUCUUUCUUCUGUCCCAAUGCCCUCUUGUUUUACUUUGGCGUUGGCCCCUUUUUUGAAUUGAUUUCCAGACUACUCCUGGCCGACCCCUGCGGGGGGAGAGAGAC